UUUGAGUGGGUAUACAUGAAUCUAGCUUUUAGCUAUCCAUUCUUCUUCAUCUUCUUCUUCACUCCCAUAGUUCAUAUGAUACCUUGUAGUGUGUCUAGGUUCCCGCCUCCUUUCUCUAGCUAGCCUCUGUUGAGUAUCUUCUAGCCUUUGCAUUAUUUCCACUAGUUAUCUCAUUUCCUCUUCUUUGUGGGUUAAGCUCCUCUUGGCAUCCGCAAACUCCCCCCAAAGAUGUCCCUUUUGAGGAGAUUGUGGCUUUGAAGACUCUCCCAAAGAUAAAUGAGUCAUGAUUUUGCAUAAAAGAAAACAAACAAUAGUGAAAAUAACAAUUUAAUGCACUCACUCAUGUGUAUCACUCAGCUAUUUGGUAAGGGAUGAAAAAAAUUUAAAUUCACUCA
rnacentral:lncRNA from 1 species